rnacentral:rRNA from 1 species
AUGCAAGUCGUACGAAAAACCUGAUUGAGUAAUCUUGAUGGUUUUUAGUGGCGGAUGGAUGAGUAAUACAUAGAUAACGUACCCUGGACACCGGGAUAGCUGCGGACUUCGGUCCUUUAGCGAAAGUGCAGAUAAUACCGGAUAAUAUCUUUAUGUCGUAUGGCAUUUAGAUCAAAGGUUCGCUGGUUUGGGAGCGGUCUAUGGCAUAUCAGCUAGUUGGUGAGGUAAUGGCAUACCAAGGCUAUGACGUGUAGGGGAGCUGAGAGGCCUAUCCCCCAUAUCGGGACUGAGACACUGCCCGGACCUCCACGGAGGGCUGCAGUAACGAAUAUUGCGCAAUGGCCGAAAGGCUGACGCAGCGACGCCGCGUGCAGGACGAAGCCCCUCGGGGUGUAAACUGCUGUCAGGGGUAAGUAAGACUUCGGUUUGAACUAACCCAAAGGAAGGCCCGGCUAACUUCGUGCCAGCAGCCGCGGUAAUACGAAGGGGCCAAGCGUUGUUCGGAAUCAUUGGGCUUAAAGCGCACGUAGGUGGAUAGGUCAGUGUCUUGUGAAAUCCCACGGCUCAACCGUGGAACUGCAGGGCAUACUGCUUAUCUUGAGGCAAGCAGGGGUGUAUGGAACUCUGGGUGGAGCGGUGAAAUGCGUAGAUAUCCAGAGGAACGCCAGCGGAGAAAUCGGUACACUGGGCUUGUUCUGACACUGAGGUGCGAAAGCGUGGGUAGCGAACGGGAUUAGAUACCCCGGUAGUCCACGUUGUAAACGAUGUCUACUAGAUCGUGGGAAUUCUGACAUCCUCGCGGUCGAAGCAAAAGUGUUAAGUAGACCGGCUGGGGAGUACGGUCGC